UUCCCAGACUCCUACGGGAGGCAGCAGUGAGGAAUAUUGGUCAAUGGGCGCGAGCCUGAACCAGCCAAGUAGCGUGAAGGAUGACUGCCCUACGGGUUGUAAACUUCUUUUAUAAAGGAAUAAAGUGAGGCACGUGUGCCUUUUUGUAUGUACUUUAUGAAUAAGGAUCGGCUAACUCCGUGCCAGCAGCCGCGGUAAUACGGAGGAUCCGAGCGUUAUCCGGAUUCAUUGGGUUUAAAGGGUGCGUAGGUUGUUUUAUAAGUUAGCGGUGAAAUACCGAUGCUCAACAUCGGGGCUGCCGCUAAUACUGUAGGACUAGAGAUCGGAUGCAGCAGGCGGAAUGUGUAGUGUAGCGGUGAAAUGCAUAGAUAUUACACAGAACACCGAUUGCGAAGGCAGCUUGCUAGGCCGGAUCUGACACUGAUGCACGAAAGCGUGGGGAUCGAACAGGAUUAGAUACCCGUGUAA
rnacentral:rRNA from 1 species